AUACUGAAACAUGAGGUGAUGGACAGGACAAACAAGCUGUACAUUAUCAUACUGAAACAUGAGGUGAUGGACAGGACAAACAAGCUGUACAUUAUCAUACUGAAACAUGAGGUGAUGGACAGGACGAACAUGCUGUACAUUAUCAUACUGAAACAUGAGGUGAUGGACAGGACAGGACAAACAGGCUGUACAUUAUCAUACUGAAACAUGAGGUGAUGGACAGGACGAACAUGCUGUACAUUAUCAUA